rnacentral:rRNA from 1 species
AUAUUGGACAAUGGGCGCAAGCCUGAUCCAGCCAUGCCGCGUGAGUGAUGAAGGCCUUAGGGUUGUAAAGCUCUUUCAUCAGGGAAGAUAAUGACGGUACCUGAAGAAGAAGCCCCGGCUAACUUCGUGCCAGCAGCCGCGGUAAUACGAAGGGGGCUAGCGUUGCUCGGAAUCACUGGGCGUAAAGCGCACGUAGGCGGCUUUCUAAGUCAGGGGUGAAAUCCCGGGGCUCAACCCCGGAACUGCCUUUGAUAAUGGAGAGCUUGAGUUCGGGAGAGGUGAGUGGAACUGCGAGUGUAGAGGUGAAAUUCGUAGAUAUUCGCAAGAACAACAGUGGCGAAGGCGGCGCACUGGCCCGAUACUGACGCUGAGGUGCGAAAGCGUGGGGAGCAAA